rnacentral:rRNA from 1 species
AGAGUUUGAUCAUGGCUCAGGAUGAACGCUGGCGGUAUGCCUAACACAUGCAAGUCGAACGAUGUCUUCGGACAUAGUGGCGGACGGGUGAGUAACGCGUGAGAAUCUGCCUCUAGGAUGGGGAUAACGGUUGGAAACGACCGCUAACACCCAAUAUGCCGUAAGGUGAAAAAUUUAUUGCCUGGAGAGGAGCUCGCGUCUGAUUAGCUAGUUGGUGGGGUAAGAGCUCACCAAGGCUUCGAUCAGUAGCUGGUCUGAGAGGAUGAGCAGCCACACUGGGACUGAGACACGGCCCAGACUCCUACGGGAGGCAGCAGUGGGGAAUUUUCCGCAAUGGGCGAAAGCCUGACGGAGCAAUACCGCGUGAGGGAGGAAUGCCUUUGGGUUGUAAACCUCUUUUCUCAGGGAAGAAGAUCUGACGGUACCUGAGGAAUAAGUAUCGGCUAACUCCGUGCCAGCAGCCGCGGUAAUACGGAGGAUGCAAGCGUUAUCCGGAAUCAUUGGGCGUAAAGCGUCCGCAGGUGGUUUCCAAAGUCUGCUGUUAAAGACUGGAGCUCAACUCCGGAACGGCGGUGGAAACUUGGAAACUAGAGUUCGGUAGGGGUAGCAGGAAUUCCCAGUGUAGCGGUGAAAUGCGUAGAUAUUGGGAAGAACAUCGGUGGCGAANGCGUGCUACUGGACCGUAACUGACACUCAGGGACGAAAGCUAGGGGAGCGAAAGGGAUUAGAUACCCCUGUAGUCCUAGCUGUAAACGAUGGAAACUA